AUACGGAGGGUGUAAGCGUUACUCGGAAUCACUGGGCGUAAAGCGCGCGCAGGCGGCUAUUUAAGUUGGAUGUGAAAGCCUACGGCUCAACCGUAGAACUGCAUCCAAAACUAUUUAGCUAGAGUGUGGGAGAGGAAGAUGGAAUUAGUUGUGUAGGGGUAAAAUCCGUAGAGAUAACUAGGAAUACCAAAAGCGAAGGCAAUCUUCUGGAACACUACUGACGCUGAGGCGCGAAAGCGUGGGGAGCAAACGGGAUUAGAUACCCUAGUAGUCC
rnacentral:rRNA from 1 species